rnacentral:rRNA from 1 species
GUACACGCUGUGACUAGCAUAUCAAUAAGCGGAGGAAAAGAAACUAACAAGGAUUCCCCUAGUAACGGCGAGUGAAGCGGGAAGAGCUCAAAUUUGAAAUCUUAAAGGGUUUCCCUUUACGAAUUGUAGUUUAAAGAAGUGUUUUCUGUUGAGGUUUUGGUAAAAGUUCUUUGGAAUAGGACAUCAUAGAGGGUGAGAAUCCCGUAUUUGACCAUUACUUUCAACUUUGUGAUACUCUUUCAAAGAGUCGGAUUGUUUGGGAAUGCAGUCCAAAAUGGGUGGUAAAUUUCAUCUAAAGCUAAAUAUUGGCGAGAGACCGAUAGCGAACAAGUACCGUGAGGGAAAGAUGAAAAGAACUUUGAAAAGAGAGUUAAACAGUACGUGAAAUUGUCAAAAGGGAAGCGUUUGACACCAGUGUUGUUUUUCUGAAAAUCAAUUAAAGAACUGUUUAUGCUAAGUUGUCUAGACUUUAUCAGCUAUCUGUUUAGUUUUGAGCUUUUCUUUAAUGCACUUUUCAGUUAACAAGUCAACAUCAAUUUCUUUUGCUGUAAAAAAGCUUGAGGAAGGUGGCUUGAGAUUCGUCUUAAGUGUUUAUAGCCUCUUGCCUAUGCAGUCGGAGAGAUUGAGGUCUGCAGCGUAGAUCCUUCGGGGCUAAAUGCAUUUGUGCUAAGUUAUAGCAUUUUAUAGACAACUUGUUGACUAUGACUUGUCUUGUAGCUUACUCGCUUAUGUUAUUUUACCUACGCUUAGGAUGUUGAUAUGCAUGACUGAUAU